GCGUGCACACAGAACCUUACAUACUUACCUUUUAUUUUUCAGAACGUGGAAAAACAUUUUUGCCUGCUAUGGACAACACAAACCACCCUUGACAACACUGAUUGUAUCUGCACCGCUCUAUUUCUUGCUGAUCAAGCCGUCCUCUCUUAUCACUUUCGUUAAGAGGUGUCCAGACACUUGAAGGCACCCCCUUCAGGUUGCGCACCCCAAAUGGAGCCCCUCUACCACUUCCUGCUGGGGCAGAAAGGACAUGGGGCCUGCCUCUGGUUCUUAUGUAAAUACUCCAGA